rnacentral:rRNA from 1 species
GACGAACGCUGGCGGCGCGCCUAACACAUGCAAGUCGAGCGAAGCGGCGAACGGGUGAGUAACGCGUGAGGAACCUGCCUCUUACAACGGGAUAGCCUCGGGAAACCGGGAUUAAUACCGUAUAGUAAGAGAUGGCCUCGCGUCUGAUUAGUUAGUUGGCGGGGUAACGGCCCACCAAGACGACGAUCAGUAACCGGCCUGAGAGGGGGAACGGUCACAUUGGAACUGAGACACGGUCCAAACUCCUACGGGAGGCAGCAGUGGGGAAUCUUGCACAAUGGGGGAAACCCUGAUGCAGCAACGCCGCGUGCGGGAUGACGGCCUUCGGGUUGUAAACCGCUUUCAGCCAUGACGCGGUAGUGGCAGAAGAAGCACCGGCUAACUACGUGCCAGCAGCCGCGGUAAUUC